rnacentral:rRNA from 1 species
GUAGGAGGCAAGCGUUAUCCGGAUUUACUGGGCGUAAAGCGCGUGCAGGCGGUUUGGUAAGUCGGACGUGAAAGCUCCCGGCUCAACUGGGAGAGGCCGUUCGAAACUGCCAGACUAGAGGGCAGCAGAGGGAGGUGGAAUUCCGGGUGUAGCGGUGAAAUGCGUAGAUAUCCGGAGGAACACCAGUGGCGAAGGCGGCCUCCUGGACUGCCCCUGACGCUAAGACGCGAAAGCUAGGGUAGCAAACGGGAUUAGAAACCCCGGGUAGUCCUAGCUGUAAACGAUGCACACUUGGUGUUGGUGGCAUAAAACCCCAUCAGUGCCGCAGCUAACGCGAUAAGUGUGCCGCCUGGGGGACUACGGUCGCAAGGCUA